AGUGAACGCUGGCGGUAGGCCUAACCCAUGCAAGUCGAACGGCAGCACAGUAAGAGCUUGCUCUUACGGGUGGCGAGUGGCGGACGGGUGAGGAAUACAUCGGAAUCUACUUUUUCGUGGGGGAUUACGUAGGGCAACUUACGCUAAUACCGCAUACGACCUACGGGUGAAAGCAGGGGAUCUUCGGACCUUGCGCGAUUGAAUGAGCCGAUGUCGGAUUAGCUAGUUGGCGGGGUAAAGGCCCACCAAGGCGACGAUCCGUAGCUGGUCUGAGAGGAUGAUCAGCCACACUGGAACUGAGACACGGUCCAGACUCCUACGGGAGGCAGCAGUGGGGAAUAUUGGACAAUGGGCGCAAGCCUGAUCCAGCCAUACCGCGUGGGUGAAGAAGGCCUUCGGGUUGUAAAGCCCUUUUGUUGGGAAAGAAAAGCAGCAGGUUAAUACCCCGCUGUUCUGACGGUACCCAAAGAAUAAGCACCGGCUAACUUCGUG
rnacentral:rRNA from 1 species